rnacentral:rRNA from 1 species
UAGAAGGCGAGAAAGGCUGUGUGAAUAGAAGAUAGAGCCCGUACCGCAAACCGACACAGGUAGAUAGGAAGAAGAUUCUAAGGCCAACGGGAGAAGGGUUGUUAAGGAACUCGGCAAGUUGACCCCGUAACUUAGGGAGAAGGGGUGCUCUUUAAGGAGAGCCGCAGAGAAUAGGCCCAAGCGACUGUUUAGCAAAAACACAGCUCUAUGCUAAAUCGAAAGAUGACGUAUAUGGGGUGACACCUGCCCGGUGCCGGAAGGUUAAGAGGAGGAGUGAGAGCUCUGAAUUGAAGCCCCGGUAAACGGCGGCCGUAACAAUAACGGUCCUAAGGUAGCGAAAUUCCUUGUCAGGUAAGUUCUGACCCGCACGAAUGGUGUAACGAUUUGGGCACUGUCUCAACAACCUGCCCGGCGAAAUUGUAGUACCGGUGAAGAUGCCGGUUACCCGCGACUAGACGGAAAGACCCCAUGGAGCUUUACUGCAGCUUAAUAUUGAAUUUCGGUAUUUCAUGUACAGGAUAGGUGGGAGACAGGGAACCAUAGGCGUCAGCUUAUGGGGAGUCGACCUUGGGAUACCACUCUUGAGGUGCUGGAAUUCUAACCUGUGGCUCUGAAUCGAGUCAGGGGACAUUGUUAGGCGGGCAGUUUAACUGGGGCGGUCGCCUCCAAAAAGGUAACGGAGGCGCUCAAAGGUUCGCUCAGCAUGGAUGGAAACCAUGCUUUUGAGUGUAAACGCAAAAGCGAGCCUAACUGCGAGACUGACGGGUCGAGCAGUAACGAAAGUUGGAGUUAGUGAUCCGGCGGUAUGUGAGUGGAAAUGCCGUCGCUCAACGGAUAAAAGCUACCCUGGGGAUAACAGGCUGAUCUCCCCCAAGAGUCCACAUCGACGGGGAGGUUUGGCACCUCGAUGUCGGCUCAUCGCAUCCUGGGGCUGAAUUCGGUCCCAAGGGUUUGGCUGUUCGCCAAUUAAAGCGGUACGCGAGCUGGGUUCAGAACGUCGUGAGACAGUUCGGUCCCUAUCUGUCGUGGGCGUAGGAUAUUUGAAAGGAGCUGUCCCUAGUACGAGAGGACCGGGAUGGACGCACCGCUGGUGCACCAGUUGUCAUGCCAAUGGCACAGCUGGGCAGCUAUGUGCGGAACGGAUAAACGCUGAAGGCAUCUAAGCGUGAAGCCGACCUUAAGAUAAGAUAUCCCUUCGUAAGAGUAAGACCUCUCAUAGACUAUGAGUUUGAUAGGCCUAAGGUGUAAGCACAGUGAUGUGUUCAGCCUGCAGGUACUAAUCGGUCGAGGGCUUUCC